UGUGUGUCUGUUUUUGUGUUCAAGCGUGUGUAUGUAUGUGUAUUUGUGUAUGUGUCUCUGAGCACGUUUGCCUAUGCACGUGUGCCUGUGUGUCUCUGUGUGUGUCUGUGUGUAUGCACGUGCGUGCAUGGGUCUGUGUGUGUGCAUGCAUGUCUGUUUAUGUGGUGUGUGCGUCCAUGUGCUUUGGCCGGAAGCUGUCAGGCGGUUUGGGCUGGCUGGGCUGAGACACGCCUGAGCCCCGCAGCAGCCUAAUCAUGCCUGACAGAUUGAUUAGGGGAGAGAGUUGCUGUGUCUCUAUUGCAACAGACAGGGCACGCGUGUCUCCACUUAACCUCUCCCAUCUCACAGGAAGGAAGGGGAUGCAGGCUGCACGGAGGAGAGACUGGGCAUGGAGGGCGAGCAGGAGAUCUGCAAGGAGACCGGAAGAGCAGCAGCGGGGAUUUAAAGAUGACUGACUGACCAGUGUAAAAAACUCUGUGUGGGCCGGGGACGGUGGCGCACACCUGUCAUCCCAGCGGUUUGGGAGGCUGAGGCAGGAGGAUUGCAAAUUCAAAGCCAGCCUCAGCAAUUUAGUGGGGCCUUAAGCAACUCAGUGAGACCCUGUCUGUAAUAAAAUAAACAAUAGGGCUGGGAUGUGACUCGGUGGUUGAGUGUCCCUGAGUUCAGUCCCUGGUAACAAAAAAGGAAAAAAAGAAGACGGUGUCUAUGUCUAAUCUCCGAUGCACAGCUCCGGAGUGCUCAGGCGGGUGAGGAUCUGGACUGCUCCGGCACAAUGGUAACAAUCGUUGUCACGGGGGAACAGGAAUUGGAAAUUUUUUAUUUAUAUCUCCUGCCUUCUCUCUGUUUUAUAAUCAGAACAAUAGCUGUCCCUCUCCUAGAAGUGAAAUGCCAGGUUUUAAAUACAUGCCGUUUCCCAAUUUGGUAAAUAAAAUACACGUAGCCAAACGACUGAAAAAAGAAAAUUAAAGAAAAAAAAAAAAAAGGUGGCAGAGUGGCUUCGUUUUAAAACCAUUCCUGAAUCUCUCUGCCUUUUCUUUUACCGGCUCCUUCCAGAUCCACUGCGUCCCCUCCGCUGGGGGCCCAGGUGGCGUGGGUGGAGGGGAGAGCACCAGGAAGGCCUUCCUUCCACCCCAGUCUCCUCGCCCACCAGGAGACUCCCCAAGACGAAGGUGACAGCGAUGUGCUGUGAGCUCUGGGUCCUGGGCUUUCGGAGUGACAGCACCACAUCAGCUCCACUGCUGGUGGCCUGGCCGACUCUGCCCCUCACUUUGUGCCUCGGCUUGUGCCCACCCUCCUCCCAGGGGCCCUGGGUGCAGCUGGUGCCCCAUGCACUUGGACAGUGCCCAGCGGUUCCCCAUGGGGCACUGCUGGCUCCUGCAUUAGGGGGUGUGUGACAUUUCUGCCCCCAAGGGACUGGCUGCUUAGAAGGUCCCAGACGGUAGAUUUCCAAAGACUCCUCCCCACACGUCCCACCCCUCGACCACACAGAGGCUGUUCUGCCCCCACUGCUCCACCCCACGGAGGCCAGCUGCCGUGACUUCAUCUCCCCUCCUGAGGACUCAGGAAAGGGCAGCUGCUGUGGCUGGGUGGAGCCCACCCCCCAAAAUCACGCAAGGCCUGACCCCAGUACCUGUGCACGCAGCCUGGUCUCAUCAGUUACCAUGUCGUCAUUGGUGUGGGCCCAGAUCAAUGUCACUGCUGUCCUUAUAAGAAGGGGAGACAGAGGCACAGACACAGACACACACAGGGUCAGAGAAAAAGCUGAUACGAAGGCUGGAGCUUCGCUGCCAUGAGGCAGGAAACAGCGGGCUGUGAAGAUAGAGGAGGCAAGAGAGGUCCCUCCCCUGCACAAUCCUGAGGGAGCACAGCCCGGCGGAAGUCUCCAUGUCAGACUUCUAGCCUUCAGACUGUGAGGCAAUAAAUUCUGUUGAUCUUGUGCUACUUUGUUAUGGCCACCCUGGGAAAUGAAUAAGGCAUGUGAUUAGCCCUAGGAAACUAACACAGCAUGUAAUACAUUCUGGUCAAUAACAUUAGAGAAAAAAGUCCACUAGGGAAAUGUUUCCCACUAAUAUGAGGAGACUCAAAAGAAACAAUGAUUUAUCAGGUGAUGGUGUUGCUGUGUCUGCACGUGAUGACGGGAACUGCUGCAGCCAUCUUGUGAACGUGAGACAAGGCAGAUAGUAUAAGCCUGAAAAAAGAAAAAAAAAUUGGAAAGAAUGUGAAUCAUUGAUGAUUAUUGUUAAGGAAGUAGCCAGCCCUAUCACCACUUGGCCUUGGGACUUCUUGUUAUGUGAGAUAAUAAAUAUACUUAUUAUUAAAAAUCA